rnacentral:rRNA from 1 species
GACGAACGCUGGCGGCGUGCUUAACACAUGCAAGUCGAGCGGUAAGGCCCUUUCGGGGGUACGACGAGCGGCGAACGGGUGAGUAACACGUGGGUGACCUGCCCUCAGCUCUGGGAUAAGCCUGGGAAACCGGGUCGUAAUACUGGAUAUGACUCCAUGACGCAUGUUGUGGGGUGGAAAGACCUUGUGCGGCUGAGGAUGGGCCCGCGGCCUAUCAGCUUGUUGGUGGGGUGAGGCCUACCAAGGCGACGACGGGUAGCCGGCCUGAGAGGGCGACCGGCCACACUGGGACUGAGGACACGGCCCAGACU